GGCUCAGGACGUGAACGCUUGGCGGGCCGUUGCUUAACACAUGCAAAGUCGAACGGAGUCAUCAUUUUUGAAGCAAAUUAGCUUGCUAAGAGUGGAAAUGUUGAUGCUUAGUGGCGGACGGGUGAGUAACGCGUGGGUAACCUGCCAUAUACAGGGGGAUAACACUUAGAAAUAGGUGCUAAUACCGCAUAAGCGCACAGUUAUUGCAUGAGACAGUGUGAAAAACUACGGUGGUAUAUGAUGGACCCGCGUCUGAUUAGCUGGUUGGUGGGGUAACGGCCCACCAAGGCGACGAUCAGUAGCCGGCCUGAGAGGGUGGACGGCCACAUUGGGACUGAGACACGGCCCAAACUCCUACGGGAGGCAGCAGUGGGGAAUAUUGGACAAUGGGGGAAACCCUGAUCCAGCGACGCCGCGUGAGUGAAGAAGUAUUUCGGUAUGUAAAGCUCUAUCAGCAGGGAAGAAAAAAAUGACGGUACCUGACUAAGAAGUCCCGGCUAACUACGUG
rnacentral:rRNA from 1 species